UUGUCAUCAACUGAACAUGGUUUCAGUUUUUUUCUGUUUGUGCCGGAACAAUCUAGCGAUGAUUUUUACGAAGUGAGAUUAUGAAGUGCAAUAGCCACGAAAACCGAAGUUCCAGAGCAACAACGUCGGUGCAAAUCACCGACAACAAAGCCAAGCGCAACUUGAAGCCGGAGGUGAGCUAGGCUCACCCGGUCCAGGACAUGGGAG